GGAAUCUUCCACAAUGGACGGCAAGUCUGAUGGAGCAACGCCGCGUGAGUGAAGAAGGUCUUCGGAUCGUAAAACUCUGUUGUUAGAGAAGAACAUGCAGGAGAGUAACUGUUCUUGUAUUGACGGUAUCUAACCAGAAAGCCACGGCUAACUACGUGCCAG
rnacentral:rRNA from 1 species